GCAGCUCUGAUCAGGAGCUGUACAACCACCAGAGCUUUCUUGGAACUGGGCGGAUCUGGCAUUUCCGAGUUAAAGACCUACUGCCUUCACCCGCGCCUGAGUGUAGCCAGGGAAACCCAGACCCAGGAAGAAGGAGCCCUGUGCCAGCGUCCCACUGAGCAAGCCGGGCUGAACCUUCCUAGCACCACUGCGCUCACUUCCCCAUGGGCUGAGUAAUUAUCCGGGGCUGAUUAGCGCUGAUUGCGGGGGCCCCCUGCGGGGCAGAGGCGGGAGCCCCGCCUGGGUCUGGGACUGCGGGGUGCCGGUGGGGGCGCGGUGGCGGCGGGGGUUGGGUGGAGGUGCUGGGAAUUCCUCUCAUCCACCCAGUCCCUCGCCAGCCCGGGGGAGGGGGCGCCGCUACGGUCUGAGCCCUAGAGGAACGCCCCAGGGAGCCCGAGGCUGGGAGAAGCACAUUUUAAUCCAAAACUGGAGGACUGAAGCUGGGUUGAGGGAGCUUCCAGCCCAAAGCGCCUGAAUUGCAAUUCUGGCUCUGCCGCUUCAAGUAGCUGUGUGGCAAGUUAACCUCUCUGAUCUUCAUAAAAUGGGAAGAGAGCAACAGUUCCUUCCCCCUUGGCUUGUCAUGAGGAAAAAAGAAGGGCUGACAAGAAGCACUCGGGAAACAUAGUUAUUAUUUUUAUCCAAAUCCCUGAAAGUGGGAAGGGCAGUGAACUCUCUUUAACCAAAGGCUGCAGUGGCUGAGGGAUGCAGGGGAGAGCUCUCCCUUUCAGGCAAGGGGGACUGCCUAUCCUGCCCGCCCUCUGAGAGCCCCCUAGAUCUUAGAGGUGAGCUAAAGAAGGAAACACCAUGUUUUGAGGGUCUGUGUGUGCCAGGUAGUCACUCAGGUGAGUCCUGUUCCCAGAUAAGGACACAGGUGCAGCCAGCUAGUUCCUCGCACAGAUCACGCCUUGGAGGCGGAGCCAAAAUUCCAGCGUGGGUCACUUUGAGCCCAAAGCCUCUGGGGCAUCUGGGGGUCCAGCUUGCAGCCCUCUUUUCUGCUUGGGAAGUCACCUGGGCUCUGGGGUGGCCCUGCCUGUCCCAGGCCCUGCCCAGGGCAGAAAACUGGCAAAACGGAGCAUGGAAGACUUUAAUGGAGGAAGCUAAUCAGGGAAUCCUAGAGGAGACAGCCAGCCAAGAUCCAAUUAAAAUGCCAGCCACCAUGAGAAAACUGAAGCACAGAGAGAGCUAGCAAGUUGCCCAAGACCACACAGUGAGGAUUCCAACUCAGGGGCUAUGACUCAAGUCCACAGUACAGUGAUGGAGAAAAUGGAACCCAACCUCCUGGUCCUCAAGGAAGCCCUUCAUCAGUGAGCUGCCUCUUGCAUACCUCCAGUGACGGACAUUUCACUAUCUCCAAGGUGCACAGCCAAGGAUGUGGAGCAUCACCCAGGACCCACCCCUCCAAGGGCCCUUCUGAUUGGUCCCUUCCCAUGAUUAACAGGUGCACAGCCAAAGAUGUGGAACAUCACCCAGGACCCUGGUCCUGAUUCUGUUGCCCCCACCCUCCACCUCUCCCUGCACCAGAGCCCCCCCCAUCCAGCUACCCCGCUGAGUUUGCCCUGCCCCCACCCCGGGAUUGGAGCACAGGUGCCUCAGGACCUCAUCACAGCAGCAGGGCCCUGCAUCCAGCCCUGUGGGUAAGAGUCUUAUCGGGCAGAGGGCUUCAAAGGAGAGUUGGAGGCAGAGGUGGAACAGAGCUGCUCCACCCUGACCAAAGACCUCCAAGUCAGCAGAGUCUUCUCCCCGGGUCUUGGCCAAGGAGGAGUGGCAAUGGCCCUCCCACCCGAGUCCCAGCUGCUUCUGCCACUCUCACCCUUGCUGCCCACCCCCCAGACCUGCUGGUCCCUCGAUCAUCUGUAGAUUUAUUUCAUGAUAAUUUCAUUUCAUCCCCAACUCCAAAAAGAUGGAUUGGCAAGCCAAGUGAUUGGGGAAUCUGUGUUGGGCUCAUAAAUUUAGUGCCCCAGUCCGAAGCCCCGAUGAAGUCCUGUGCACUUGAGGAGGAUGGAUGGAGGGGGGCUGAGUGUGUGCCACACUGUCUUCUGUCUCUCCCUGCCAUCCUCGCUGGGGGCAGGCGAGGGGGCAGCACUUUCAUGGGAAAGGGGGAAUUGACCUACCCUGGAACUGCAGAAGCUUCUCCCUCCACAUUUGUUACAAAUGAGGCUGAUUGUCACUUGGCUGGCAGGAUGACUGGCCUUCACCUGCCCCCCAGGCACAAGGGGAAGCCAUCUCCUGAGUGGGGACAGGAGAUGGCUGGGGGGAAAGGGGACAAGAAGCGGGGCUGGUGCCCCCUCCUCUUUCCUCCCACUGGUCAGGAGGAGGCUUUGUGUCGGGCAGGAGUGGGAGGCUUGUGAAGAGCUAGCCCCUUUCAGGAGGGAGAAGUGUACACACACACACACACACACACACACACACACACACACACGAGUAGUCCGCCCACACUAACACCUGCUAGGAAAGAGAUCGCAAAUGCAAUAGCAGAAUCAAAGCCACAUAGGAGAAAGGAGCAUGGAAUUUGGGAUCCAGGAGAGCCAGAAAUAGCAUACUGGCUAUGCUGUGUUUCCUUGGGCCACUUACUCAACUUCUCUGAGCCUCACCUUGUUCACUUGCAAGAAUGACUGUCUCCCCUCAAAGGAAUAUUGUCAGGAUCAAAUGAGAUUGUGUGUGAGAAGUGCCUGGCACAUACGUGGCAGAGUCAUGAUUACUGCGUGUGCACACCCCCCCCCCACACACACACCCAUUCACUCUCCUUUCUGCACCUCCCAUAGCCUCACCUCUGGCCUCCAGGAGCUGCCCAGAAUGAUGCAACUCAGAGCCCCCUGGGGCUAAUUCAGGUCUUCUUCCUUCACCUCCUGCCCCCUUGAACCAGCCCACCUCCCCACCCCCAACCCCGCCAGUCCACCUCCCCAGAUCAGAGACUCAUAGGGAACUAGUCUAAACCAGUGGUAUUCAGGUAGCUGUUCACAGGAGAAAGGAGCCUGGAAUUUGGAAGACAGGUUCCUUGGGGGUGGGAGGGGAGGCGCGUUUCCUCUGGGGGGCACUGCCUGCCCUCCUGCCUCUCCCUGUGUUAAACCUUAGCCCCUGCCUUCCUCAGGCUGAAGCCUCCAAGGUUCAUUUCCCCUGCCCCAUCCCCCAUAUCAACCCUUCUCAGGGUCCAGGGCCUGCAAUUAGCUUCCCACCAGGUUUCAUUUCUCCUCCGGACCCUGGCUUCUCCGAUGGGAGGGGCCCAGGAGCGGAGGCUCCGUUCCUGGUUUUAUCCAGGCACUCCGACCUAAUUAGUAUUCCAAGGAGAGCUGGCUCCACAGGCCCCAGGAUUUGUUUGCCAGCCGGCCAGUUCCCUGUCUCCCCAGUUCAGAGUGAGUAAUUCUGUCCCUCCCAGGCCCAUUUAAGGGAGUGAAUAAUUAGUUACAUUCAAUUAGGCCUCUUGCUGCCACUGUGGCUCCUGCCUGCCUCACUUGGGGGGACAGGCACACUAAUGAGAUGGCACACGUCUGACACGGGGGAGCCGAUGUUAAAUACCAGCCGCCACCACCCCCCAGCCCUCCGCAAGGGGCCGAAGGCUUGGAGGGAAUGGGGGGCGAGGUGCUGGACACUGGGGAUGAAGGCAGGAGAGGAGAGGGAAAGACGAAGGGGGGAGAGGUGCCGUGGAAGCAGGAAGGGACCCAAGAGGACAAGGAGAGAGAAGCCACCUAAACAUCCAUCAAUAUGGAGCCCUCACCUGAAUCAGGCUCCAGCUGGGCAGUGGAAUCCUAUGCAGCAAUUAAAAAGCAUGUGGUCCAUCUAUAUUUAUUGGCAUGGAGAGAUAUCUGCUGUAUAUACGGCUAAGCAAAGAAGGCUGCUUACCAAACAGUGUGUGUAAUAAUAGCCCAAGUUUAAAAAAUAUUUUUGGCACAGAAAACAAGCCUGGAAGGACCCGUAACUUGUGGCUGGUGGGGAUAGUGGGGAGGCUUACAGGUGGCCUGAUUUUCCUGUUUCUUGCUUGGAUGGUGGAGGGGGCAUGCGCCCACGGGUAGGACUGAUUAGCCAAAACAAGAACUCACUUGCUCAGAAGAGAACUAGGGUGAGAUGGAAGGGCUGGGAGAAGGUGGUUGGUUGGCGCAGGCGGCAGGAUGCAGGCAUGGGGGAGGGGCAGAGACCGCAGAGGGUGGGAGGGAGUCGUGGAGGAAGGAGGAAGCAGGGAACUAGCUGGGCGCCAAGGCCCAGCGGGAGGUGCCAGUCGUCAAGGAGGGAGGCGGAGAGCCCCAGGGACUGGAGGGGGGGGCAGUUUGCAAUAGAGAGGCAGAGGCCCCCUUCACCACCACCCACUGGCCCAGUCUGUCUGGGUGAAAGCUGCUCAUUGACUUUACUGAACCCCCCCUAGGAG